UGUGAGCCCAUCAUGCUGUGACCCCAACAUACUGCGAGCCCAUCCUACUGUGAGCCCAUUUUGUAAUAAGCCCAUCUGGCUGUGAGCCCAUAUUGCUGUGAGCCCAUCCUACAGUAAGCCCAUCCUACUGCGAGCAAUACUACUGUGACCCCAUCCUACUGUGAGCCCCUCCUGCUGUGAGCCCUCCUACUGUAAACCUAUCCUAUUGUGAGUCCAUCCUACUGUGAGCCCAUUCUACUCUAAGCACAUCCUACUGUGAGCCCAUCCUACUGUGAGCCCAUCCUGCUGUGACACCAUCCUGCUGUGAGACCAUCAUACUUUGAGCCCAUCCUACUGAGAACACAUCCUACUGUGACCCAUCCUGCUGUGAGCACAUCCUACUGUGAGCACAUCCUACUGUGAGCCCAUUCUGCUGUGAGCCCAUCCUGUUAUGAGCCCAUCCUGCUUUGAACCAAUACUGCUGUGAUCCCAUCCUGCUGUGAGCCCAUCCUACUGAGAGCCCAUUCUACUGAGAGCCCACCCCACUGUGAACCCAUCCUACUGUGAGCCCAUCCUACUGUGAGCCUAUCCUGCUGUGAGGACAUCAUACUAUGAGUCCAUCCUGCUGUAGGCCAUCCUGAUGCCAGCCCAUCCUGCUGUGAGCGCAUCCUACUGUGUGCCCAUCCUGCUGUGACACCAUCCUAGUGUGAACUCAUUAUACUUGAGCCCAUUCUACUGUGAGCCCAUCCUACUUCAAGCCAUGCUAUUCUCAGCCCAUCCUAACGUGAGGCCAUUUUUCCAUAAGGCCAUCUUCUGUGAGCCCAUUCUGCCAUAAGCCCAUCCUGCUGUGAGCCCAUCUUACUGUGAACCCAUCCUACUGUGAGCCCAUUCUACUGUGAGCCCAUCCUAAUUUGAGCCCAUUGUGCUGUGAACCCAUCGUACUGUGAGCACAUUCUACUGUGAGCCCAUCCUGCUGUAAAACCAUCCUACUGUGAGCCCAUCCUACUGUAAGCCCAUCCUACCGUGAGCCCAUCCUAUUGUGAUUCCAUCCUACUGUAAGCCCAUCCUGCUGUAAGCCCAUCCUAUUGUGAGGGCAUCAUACUGUGAUUCCACCCUACUGGAACCCAUCCUGCUGUGAGCCCAUCCUGUUGUGAGCCCAUCCUACUGGGAACCCAUCCUAUUGUAGCCCAUCCUACAGUGAGUCCAUCCUACUGUUAGACUAUCCUGCUGUGAUCCCAUCCUGCUGUGAGCCUAUCCUGCUGAGAACCCAUCCUGCUGUGAGCCCAUCCUACUGUGAGCCCAUCCUGCUGUGAGUCCAUCCUACUCUAGGACAUUCUGCCAUAAGCUCAUUCUGCUGUGAGCCCAUCCAACUGUGAGCCUAUACUUCUGUGAGCCCACCCUAGAGUGAGCCCAUCCUGGUGUGAGCCCAUCCGACUAUAGCCCAUCCUACUGUGAGCCCAUCCUGCUGUGAGCACAAUCUGCCAUAAGACCAUCCUGGUGUGAAUCCAUCCUGCUGUAGACCAUCCUGCUGGGAGCCCAUCCUAAUGCCAUCCUGCUGUGAGUCCAUACUACUCUGAGCCCAUCCAGCUGUGAGCCCAUCCUAUUUUGAACCCAUCCUGCUGUAACAACCUCCUAAUGUGAGCCCAUCCUACUGUGAGCUCAUCCUAUUGUGAGCCCAUCCUACAGUAAGCAAAUCCAACUGUAACCCAUCCUACUGCCAGCCAUUCAAUUCUGAGCGCAUCCUACUGUGAGCCCAUCCUGCUGUGAGCCCAUCCUAUUGUGAGCCCAUCCUGCUCUGAUCCCAUCCUGCUGUGAGCCCAUCCUUCUUGAGAAGAUCCGACUGUGAGUCCUUCCUGCUGUGACACAAUCCUACUGUGAACCCAUCCUACUGUGAGCACAUCCUGCUGUGAGCCCAUCCUACUGUGAGCACAUCCUGCUGUGAGCCCAUCCUGCUGUGAGCCCAUCCUACUGUGAGCCCAUCCUGCUGUGAGCCCAUCCUACUGUGAGCACAUCCUGCUGUGAGCCCAUUCUGCCAUAAGCCCAUACUGCUGUGAGCCUAUCCUGCUGUGAGCCCAUCCUACUGGGAAUGCAUCAUACUUGAGCCCAUCAUGUUGUGAGCCCAUGCUGCUGUGAUCCCAUCCUACUGUGAGCUCAUCCUGCUAUGAGCCCAUGCUACUGUGAGCCCAUCCUGCUGUGAGCACAUCCUAAUGUGAGCCCAUUCUGCCAUAAGCCCUUCCUGCUGCGAGCCCAUCCUGCUGCGAGCCUAUCCUACUGCAAGCCAUGCUACUCUGAGCCUAUCCUGCUGUGAACCCAUCCUGCUGUGAGAUAAUCCUGCUGUGAGCCUAUCCUGCUGUGAGCCCAUCUUACUGCCAGCCAUCCUACUCUGAGCCCAUCCUACUGUGAGCCCAUCCUACUGUGAGCCCAUCAUGCUAUGAGCCCAUCCUGCUGUGAACCCAUCCUGUUGUGAUCCCAUCCUGCGGCCAUUCUUCCUUACGCCCAUCCUGCUGUGAGCCCAUCCUACUGUGAGCCCAUCAUGCUAUGAGCCCAUCCUGCUGUGAACCCAUCCUGUUGUGAUCCCAUCCUGCGGUGAGCCCAUCCUGUUGCGAGCCCAUCCUACUGUGAGCCCAUCCUGUUGCGAGCCCAUCCUACUGUGAGCCCAUCCUACUGUGAGCCC
rnacentral:lncRNA from 1 species